rnacentral:Y_RNA from 1 species
UGCUGCUCUAAAGGCAGUGAGUUAUUUCAAUUGAUUGUGCACAGUUAGAACUCUUUAUUCUACUCUUUCUCUACUUCUUACUACUGUUCUUGACUAGCCUGAA